UUCAUUUACAACCAUAUUUCUCUCAUCUUGACUCUUUAAGAGUCCAUUUCUUCUUUAUCAGAGAAUGUGGUAGAUUUUCAUCACCCUCACAAUUAUUUUGUUUAGACACAAUCCCAUUAACUUCAUUUGCAACAAUACUUCUUUCAUCAUGACACUGGAUAGCACUCUUUACCCUCCGACCUUACAUCAUCUUCAUCAUGAACCACAUAAGGCGGUAGCAAUAUGAACUGAGUGUCCGAGUCUCCAGAAAAUUAUCGUAGGAGUGACACAUGAAAAACUAGUUGUACUCUUAUUGUGGCUAGUAAGGCAAGCUCAUAUGCAACUGCCCCUAUACGAUGGAGCACCCAAUAUAGUCCAAAGUAAUUUGGGCUUAAUUUUUAUGAAGCUCGGCCGACCACUGUGACUUGUCUAUAAAGUUGUAACGUCAGAAGGACCCACUAACCCUCACUAAAGGUAAUAUCUAUCCUCUCGACUGUAUUUGUGCUAUCAUACGUUGUUGUGCACGAAUGAGAUUAUGUUUAACACGGAUAGCAUUGUUUUCCUCAUUUGCAUGGUAUGUGUGACAUGGAAAGGGGUGAAAAGUUGGAUAUAUAGUGUCGGAGAGUAUGAGGUUGGCGGCCGUAAAGUGCUUCAAACAGCGAGAUGCUAGUAGCAGAGUGGUUGCUAGUAUUGUACCAAUACUACACUAAAGGGGCAUGGCAAAACCAUUUACUCGGUUGGGAUACAGUGAAACAAUGGAGGUGUGUCUGGAGGCAUUGAUUGACUACCUCCAUUUGGCCAUCAGUUUGAGAAUAGUAGGCAGAACUAAAACAUAGUUAUGUUCUGAAGAUCCGAAAGAACUCUUGCCAAAAGGAGCUUAGGAAUAGUUUAUGCCAAUAUGAGAUAACGGACCAGGGAACACCAUGCAACCAUGCUAUCUCAACCAAAAAACAUUGGGCAAGGAUCUCAGAACUGAACUUGGAUGGCAUGCCCAGAAAGUGUGCGUACUUGGAUAGAAGAUCUAUGACAAUCCAAAUGACCACGUGCCCAUGAGAAGGUGGUAAGUGAGUUAUAAAAUCUAUAGAAAUAUUCGUCCCAUAUAUUCAGAGGAAUUGUGAGUGGUUGUAAUGGUCCAUUUUGUUUUGUAUGGACAUACUUGUUAUAUUUGCAUGUGGUGCAGUGGUUGAUGAAGUCCUUGGUUUGCUUGGACAUUCCCAACAAGUAACAUAAAGUGGCUAAGCAUGUCAUGGUGGGCUUAAGACCGAAGUGACCAGAACAAAGGGUGAAAUGAUACUCAGUAAUGAUAGACUGCCAAAGAUCAAGUAAGUCAUGUAUAAAAUUUCUUUGUUCAUAAAACACCAAGCCAUUUGAGAACUGAAGUUUUUGCUUCAUGCUUGCAUUUGGUUCAGCCUUCUGAAUGAAUUGUAGGCCUUUUGAGGUAGUAUAAUAACUACACAACUGGUGGAGAACAAGGAAGAAAAAAUCGCUAUCUCAUCACCAUGACAUCUAGAGAGGGCAUCUAUUGUAACACUGUGAUUUUCUGUGCGCGUUUUAUUAAUUAUUUAAUUGACAAACAAUUAAUAUUAGAAAUUAAUCAGUAUUGAUUUAGGCUAAAUCUAAGUUGAGUUUUAGUCUUGUAUCUUUAUUUCCUAAUUUAUGGUAAAUUUGCAUAAUUUUCUGAGACGGAAAGUCUUUGGGCCUCUUUCGAACCCAAAUUCACCCUAAAUUCGGCUAAAAUGUGAUUUUUGAGUUCUGUAACUCAGAAUCAAAUUCUGAUUGCACCAUUGGCAUCAAAAUAUUAUUUCAAGUCAAAAUAGAUACCAAGUUUAUCCAUAAAUCAUCUCUAGAUAUUUUCACUCCAAAAUCCAAGUUUCAAUGUAACCAUAAAUCAAGAGAUUUUUAAUCUUCGGUCGAGUUUUAACCGACAAUACUCGGGCAUGAUUUUAAUCAUGAUAUUUCCUCGCAUUAGUCACACCACCCAUUCAUGAGUCAAGGCCGCUUGUUGAAUAAGCAAAAGUACAAUCACUUACAUAAUCCCCUAUAUCACUCAGUAACUCCUUACGCCACCAUGCAAAAUUUGAUUCCUCUCUUUAAAAGCAACCCAUUGGUCUUGAGGGAGAACACUUUUUUUUUCCUCACUUUCUCACUUUGCAUUCUAAGAGAUUUCAUUAUUUAUCUUCUUGUUUUCUCAAUCUCUCACACAUACACCAUUAGAUAGUUAUCAUCUUUUAGUAUGUUGUUCUUGAUUAUGUGAUCAACACUAUCAACCCUUGUGGUUGCUUUAGAAUGAAAUGUGUUGAUAUGACCAUAGAGUUUUAUUGAAUCAACUUAAGUUAGCUUACUUUAAAGUGGUAAGUUUAACUUAAGAGAUCUUGAUUUAAAAUGUUAACUUUUGAUAUGUUGUUCUUUAUUAUGUGAUCAACACUAUCAAACCUUGUGGUUGAUUUAGAAUGAAAUGUGUUGAUAUGACCAUAGAGUUUUAUUGAAUCAACUUAAGUAAUCUUACUUGAAGUGGUAAGUUUAACUUAAGAGAUCUUGAUUUAAAAUGUUAACUUUUGAUAUGUUGUUCUUGACUAUGUGAUCAACACUAUCAACCCUUGUGGUUGCUUUAGAAUGAAAUGUGUUGAGAUGACCAUAGAGUUUUAUUGAAUCAACUUAAGUUAGCUUACUUUAAAGUGGUAAGUUUAACUUAAGAUAUCUUGAUUUAAAAUGUUAACUUUUGAUAUGUUAUUCUUGAUUAUGUGAUCAACACUAUCAACCCUUGUGGUUGCUUUAGAAUGAAAUGUAUUGAGAUGACCAUAGAGUUUUGUUGAAUCUAAUUUAGUUAACUUACUUUAAAGUGGUAAGUUUAACAUAAAAUAUCUUGAUUUUAAAAUAUUGUUUUUAUGAAUGAGAUCAACACUAUCAGCCCUUGUGGUUGCUUUAGAAUGAAAUAUUUUGAAAUGACCAUGGAGUUUUAUUGUUCAAAAUUAUUGAAUCCACUUGAAUUAGCUUACUUUAAAGUGGUAAGUUUAACUUAAGAGAUCUUGAUUUAAAGUGUUGACUUUGGUUAAGUAGCUUACCUUAAAGUGGUGAAUAUGACUUAAAAAGUCUGCAUGAAAGUAUUAAUUUGUGUUAAAGUUAAAAGUACAAGCUUUGUUAAAGUCUUAUUUUAAAGGAUUGUUUUCUUAAAAAAGACUUUCGAUAAUAAAGAAUGGUUCAAAAAUAUGUAAUCUUGAACUGGAUGGAUGAAAGUGAUUGAGUCCAUAAUAGGUUAAAAGAUGUCUUUACCUAAGGGUUAUCAUGCAAGAAUUUUAACUCACAAUCCUACUGAUUUGUUCUUGUCUUUAUUUCCGAAGCUUUCGAAGUUGGACAACAUACUUGUUUCGCACUUAUCACCAAGGGAACCACUCUGUAGCUACUGUAACUAGGAGUAAUCGAUUAACUCUUUUACAUAAUCGAUUAUCGACAUCAAAAAUCAGAAUCUUGUAGCUACUAUAACUAGGAAUAAUCGAUUAACAUGUAACAUAAUCGAUUAUCAAUAUUCUAAAAUCUCCCUAUCUGAUGGACAUAAUUGAUAACCUGGUCUGGUAAUUGAUUAUCGAUAUCAUAAGUCAUAAUUCUUUUAGCUACUAUAACUAGGAAUAAUCUAUUAACCCUUGGCAUAACUGAUUAUCAGUGUUAUAAAAUUGUUUGAAUGAUACAAAAGUAUGGGAAUGUGAGUAAUACAAGAUAAAAUACAUUAAAAAGGACUGAUGUCCCAAAGAUGAAACAAAUACUUACCACUAGAGCAUAAGUAAACGCUAUCUACCAGUAAUAUGGGUUGUUGGUGGUAACGAGAUUAGUUAGGGCCCUCCUAACAAGGUCGUCGACUAUUAUGUCGUUAAGGGCGAGGCCCAAAAGGUUGUGUUUACCACGAAGCGACAUCGUCUAACCGUAAGUAGCUUGGCCAUUAGCCCGUCUAGGGUGAUUCAAUGAUGGUCCAUAGUGGUGAGGAUAUUAUUCCUCUUUUAUGUUAUGACGUAAGAUCGGGUCCCACAAGAAGCAUUCCUUUGGGAGAUGUCUUAGGCUGGGCCGAUCAUGUAAAAAUAAAUAAUGAUUAAAAGUUUUAAUCGGCUAACCUCGGUUAGUGUGCAUACUCAUUAUGAAUAAUGAAGUAGUGGAGAGCAAAGUUACGGGAGAUGAAUGAGCCUCGGGAUGUUGAGAGAGACUGUGAUGGUGGUUAGGCAUUAGCAAAAGCCUUGAGGAAGAGUCUAGGUGAGACGAGUCCCCUGUAUUCGUGGAUGAGGUAUUCUGUUGGAUCGAACAAUUCUCAUAACACAAACUAGAUAAUCUCUAACAACCCUUUUUUGCAAUCAGGAUUGAUGAGAGGGAUGCCCAGAAAGUGUUUGAUACGACAUCAUCCUGAAAUGGACAGUUCCAUUAGAACAGAUCUAUCAUAUAUCCUUACGAGGAAUAAGUUGGUGCGUUCAAAUCGGCUUGUUAUGUGACUUGUACUCUCGGUUAUUUCCGAAUAAUUUAUUGGGAGGAUAUUGGUGUAAGGAUGGAUGAUCUAAACAUAACAUUCAUAUAUGGAAAUAUUGACCCCCAUAUAAUGUUAUAAAAAUCAUUCAUCAUCUGCAUUUAUGUAUCUGAUAACAUAGUAUGUCUAUUAUGUGUGUUAUGUUUGGAUGUGAUAUUCUGUAUAAUUCCAUGUCGUCGAUGAAAAAUAUUCGUUAGAUGUCUUACUCCAUUUCUUUCUGCUUUUAUUUUGGUACACAUCCUUGUCCAGAUGGACAAAUAUGUGCAGAUUCAGAGCUACCGAUUCUCAAUGUCCUAGGAGGGGGCAUGGAGAAUUGAUGGGGACCGUUAUACCUACACAUGCCCUUGUGGCUUGUAGCUGGAGAUGGUGUAUAACGACACCACUAUGCGCUUUCCAUCUCACCAUGCAUUCAUGGAGACUUCUUUCACUCUACCAGGCCAGAGGCCGAUACCUACUGUGUCAUCCACCCAGUCUUCGACUCCUUGUGGACCAGCUGUUGCAGGACCGUCAAUAAGGCGAAGGAGUUGGAAUGAUGUGACUCGUUCUACACUGUCGAGGAGAGCCACUCGGCGUACAAUUCUAGAACCACAUGCAUAUGCUAGGAUAGGGAUUAGGUCGCGGGGUUCUGCCAAUGAUACGUGGAGGAGAUGGAAUCUGAAUAUGACGAUUGUAUGGAGUUGGUCCACAUAGAGGACUCUAUCGAGGUGAUAAAUCUCUCUUCGGACUCUGAGUUGGAGGAGGACCCGAGUGAGGGUUCUAGUGCCCUGUUAGUGUUGGAGCUAGUCGUUAGGAGCUAUUUCCUUUUCCUUUGUGCUUUUUGGAGUUAGGGUAUCUAUGUAGGAUAGUUUUGUAGUGCUGAAGAAUUCAGCCUAUUUUGUAUAGCUUCAGUUGAGCGAUAAUUAGAUUCCAUCGUGUAUUCUGUACUAACAUUUUACAUGACCAAGCAACACCUUGUUAUAUAUGUUGUAUUAAUGAAGAAGUAUUCAGGAAAGUAUUGUAUCAUUUUCAGUUACCGUUAGGUAACCGUCAUUGAUUUUUCGCAGUUUAUGUUACUAAGAACGUGAUGUCUCGAAAAAGAAAUGAAUACAAGUAAAACAAUUUCUAAUGAUAUAUUCAAAAAGAAAUUUCACAUUUUAAUCACAAUAUUCAUAAAGUAAUCUUUGCGACAUUACAUCUGCCACCCUAUUCGAAGUAUCAGAUCUAUAUCUAAUUUCAUAUUGAAACCCAAUAAGCUUAGUUACUCACUUUUGUUAUUGUAGUGUGUGUAACCCUUAGGUCAUAAGAUGCUUUAAAAUUUGUUGAUUUAUUAGUAUACGAAAAUGCCUUCCAAUUUUUAGGUAUCAGUGAAAAGAACACACCUAGAAGGGGGUUGAAUAGGUGUAGCGGAGCUCAAGUUUCGAUUUUUGGGUUUUUGCACACUUGCUGAAAAAUGUCCAGCUAAUCGAUUAAGCACUGUUCAUAAUCAAUUAAACACAGUAAAAACAGAAUGCAGAAAAAACUUGUUUCACAACUCUCUUGCACGACAAGUUACGAGAAAUCAGGCAAUAUUACAACUUGAAAUGUAAAAGAGAAAGGGAUAGAAAAGAUUGCGCAAUGAUUUUAUCCUGGUUCGUUUUGCUGUCCAUUACAAAACUACAUCCAGGCCUCCCCUUCUGAUCUUGGGAGAUUUUCUUCUUCACUAUAGAACACAAUGUAUAGUUACAUACACGCUUUCAAUUACAAGAUUCGAACAUUUCUUUCUUGGAACCUAAACAAUUUCGUCACCCUUGGUUUGACUUUUCCUAAAAUCGCUUCCCAAUAAAAUCUUUCUUACCGUGAUUCGGCCCGUAUAUGAUAUAUGCUCAUGCAAUACAUGAUUUCCAAAUAUAAUACAUUUAUUGCAAAAAAUCAAUGUAUUCAAAUGCGUGAACCUAAAUAUCAUAUAUUUCUUGAUGAUGUUUCAUUUUAGUGGAUUAAUUACUUUAUUAAGUCUUGUGAGACUCACACCUAGGUUUACCUAACCUAGACUCAAUAUCUAUGGAAAAGAUAAUAAAGAAUUAUAACCUAAGUCUAAUAAGUCACCACUUGAGUCAUCGGCAUGUUGUUUGUUGAAUGAUCUUCAAGCUUGUCUUCAUGUUGGUCAUCAUGUUUGUCUUCAUCAAAACAUAGAUCAAUCUCCAAUGGUGCACUUCACUUUCACCAAUCAAAUACUGACACCAUUUUUGACUACUUUUGUGACAGGAAAAAUGUCUCUGACAUAUGUCGAUGUGUGUUGCAAUCGUGAUGACAUUUUUUUGCUGAAGAAGGCAAAGGGAUGUCCAUUUUGGGAAAGCACAACACCGAUAGCCAUUGCAGAGACAUCCGUUUCCACCUUAAAGGUUUGGGAGAAGUCACGCAGCCGCAAGACAAGGGUUUUUAUCAUUGCUUUCUGUAAAUUUGUAAAUGCCAAUUAAGUUGCUGAUGUCCAUGUAAAAUUAUGUCAUGUUAGUAGAUCGGUGAGGGGAGCAGUGAAUAUGGCAUAAUUUCUAACAAAUUUAUGGUAAAAUUCGGUGAGGCCUAAGAAUCUAAUGAGCAUCGUGACUGAACGUGACUGUGACUAAUCUAGCAUAGCUUGGAUUUUUUUGGGGUUUGGUUGCACUCCUCCAUAUAAGAUGAUAUGUCUCAAAUAGCUCAUUGACUUAACUACAAAAACACAUUUUGAUAACUUUCCAUAAAACUGAUUAGAAACCAAUAGGUUCAAUACAAUUUCUAGAUGAUGUAAAUGAUCACUAAGAUUACAACUAUAGACAAGAUUAUCAUCAAAGAAUAUAAGAACAAAUUGUCAUAAAUAUGGCCUUAACAAAUCAUUCAUGGCUCCCUGAAAAGUGGAGGCGAUAUUUGUGAGCCCAAAAGGCAUCAUCAGAAACUCAUAAUGCCCGUCAAAUGUACAAAAAGCGGUUUUAUGAGUAUGAGAUGGUUGUACUGUGAUUUGGUGAUAAACAAACCACAAAUCAAUCUCAGAAAAGAAUGUUGCAUUCUCGAGCUCAUCAAGUAGCUCAUCAAUAGUUGGAAUGAGAAAGCCAUCUGGAAUAGUAAUCGACUUAAGUGCUUGAUAAUUAACACAUAACCUCCAAUUGUUGUCUUUCUUCUGCACUAGAAGCACCUCUAAUGAAAACGGACUAGUACUUAGGAUUAUAAUCCCUGCUUGCAACAUUUCUUUUGUCAUGGAGCACAUAAUUUCCUUUUGAGAAUGUAGGUAGCGAUAUGGUUUACUGUUUCCAGUAGAGUUGGGAAGUAAGGGAAUAGUAUGGUCAUGGGUCCUUGAUGAUGGUAGUGAGGUGGGUGUUUGGAAAACAAUAUCAUAUUCUUGUAGGAGUGUUUGGAUUUGUGGGUCAGAGGGGGAAUGGGCUUGGGUAAGUAUGGGUCAAUAAUGGUGAUAGUAUGAAAUGUAGCGAUGCAAUCAGUUUGAAAAAGUCUAGUGAAUUGGUGUAGUGUGUAGGGUUGAAGGUUGUAGGAUGAUUACCUAGUGAAUGUUAUAGUAUUUUCCCCAACAGUGAACUGCAUAGAUUGGACAAAAAAUCAGAAAUAAUUAACUCUAGUGUUUGUAGCCUCUCAAUGCCCAAAUUCACAUCAACCCCUUUAUUUGGUAGAAAAUAAAAUGGAAUUAGGAACUAUUUGUGUUGUAAAGUGAUAGGAAUAUUAUCAAUUAGACCAUUAUAGUAAAUGUGAGCUCCAUUUCCUACCAUGACUGGAUAUUGGAGGGUUUGAGUGAUUGGAAAGUGUGAUGAUUUGCAAUUCUAGGUUGUAAGAUAUUAUGGGAAUUACAAGUAUCAACUAGAACAAUAGGUGGCUAACCUUGUAUUAAACCUGAAAAUUUCAUAGUUUUAGGGGAAAUUUGACCCCCAAGGGCUUGGUUAGAAAUAUGAAAAUGAAUAAGGUCAUUAGAGUAUGACUUUGCAGGAGGGUUUGUCAAGUCCUCUAGUAUAGGGUCCAGGUAGUGGAGAGCACGCUUAAUGGGUUGUGAGACAUCAUCUUCUAGCAACAAUAAAAAUUUCCUAGGCUGACAUUUGUGGCCAACAUAAAAUUUCUCAUCAUAGUUGUAACAAAGCCUUUGUGCACGCCGCUCUUGCAUUUGAGUAGUAGUGAGAUGACGAAUAGGAAUAGGUGAUGAAUUGGUAUUUAGGUUGGGAGUAAGGACAGGAGGUGUCUUGGUAAAAGAGUUGGGGUAUGAGUGAGAUUGAAAUUGUGUAGUGUUAGGAAUGGUACGACUAGUAUCACGAAUUUUUUAUUCCACCAACUUAGCAAAACCCAGAGUAUCUGAAAUAGAUGUAGGACGUAAAAUAGUCAACUCAUGGCGUAUUUAUGGGGAGAGACCUGAAUAAAGUAGUUUAAAUUGACCUGUUGUGAUAGACCCCAGACCCUGUUACACAAUUUCUCAAAUUAUUGUUGGUAGUCAGCAACUAUACCAAAUUGCUUUACUUUGAACAGUUUAGCUUGAUAGUUUGUGGAGGUGGAUGGCCCAAUACGGGUUUCCAAAGUCCUGUUGAAUGAGUGUCAAUUAGUAAGUUAGAAAUUAUGAAACAUCCACUUAAACCAACUAACGCUACUCCUUGCAUAUACAAGGUGAUCAUUGGAAGACGUUGAUCCGGAAUGAUCAUAUAGAGCUGAAAAAAUUAUUCUGCUUGUAAAAUCCAAUCAAGUGGUUCAAAGGAUGAAAGUACCAAAAUGUUAGGAAGAUGAUAUAUUAGACUAAGAAGAUGAAGAAAAAAUUAGAGAAAAACAAUAAGAGAAUUCUUUGCUGUAAAUUUCAUGCUUCAUUCUUAUCAGUACUGGCUUAAUAAAGUCAAACUACAAAGGUGACAAAUGAUCUGAACCGUACAUGUGAUCAGGUCUUACAUGAAUAAUAAUGGAAGAAAAAGGUAAGUAUCUCCCUUUUGGGCCUUCCUAUUUUAUGGACUGGAAGAGUCCUGUAGGAUAAAAAUAUCUUACAUCCCAUAAUGCAAUAUUAUAUUUUAAUUUUAUCCAAAUAUCCUAUAUGGGGUGGAUCCAAUCAGUUUUUGCUUUGUGCUCAUCAAACUCUAUCAACAUGUAAAUUCUUCAAAGUCCUAUUAAAUUUAUCAUCUCCUAAUACCUUCUUGUAUAGCUCAUGAUGAAGUUUCAUCUCAUUGUUCAAGUCAUAACGAACUAGCAUAUGAUCUGGUAUAGCAUUGAUAUUGAACAGAAAAAAUAAUUUCCAUCACCAUCCACAUCACAAACAGACUCUAUAUACUCUGGUAUAGCAUUUGGGACACUGAAGGUGUGUGACUUGUGUAAUUGAAAUAUUUUCUUUUCUGAUGAUUGAGUUGUGUUCAACCAUAGUCGAGAUGUCAUCUUCUAUGAUGCUUGGGCUACUUUCACUUUUUGAGGUUGAGAUAUUAUCUUAUGCGAUUUUUGUAAUGUUUUCUUUUGGGAAGGUGUGGUUGUUUUGAUCCGUGAAGAUUGAGAUAUUAGAUUCCUUCUCUUCACGGGUUGUUCGGAUGCUUCUCUCUACUUAUCAAUAUGCUCCCAUAAUGAAGGAUCGCAGUUAAGAAACUUUUCUUUUGUAGAAAAACCUUUUUUCAUAACUAUUUCCUUGGGAUGAAUCAUUGAGGUAGUUUCAUACCAUAAUAAUCGAUGUCUAAAUUCCUCAAUUAUUGGUUCUGGAUCAAACUUUUCUUCUUCUUCAUUGAUAGAUUUAUUUUCAUUAUCAAAUAAAGAUAAUCUCUACCAUUGAACAUGCACCCACUACAACAUUUUUGGCUUAUGGCAACACUUUCAAUUACAACGGUGAUAAAACUGUGGCUAUAGAGCACAUUAGGCAACGGUUUUUUAAAUUGUUCUCUUACACUUUUUUUUACGUUUUUAAGACAUAACAGUGAAAAACCAUUCCCCAAAAACUAUUCUCAUGGCAUCCCACCACAGUUUUAUUGGCGUGGCCUAAUAAUCUUUAAAAAAACAAUAGAAGAAACCAUUCUUGAAUAUCAAACAUCGCAAAUACAAUAUACCUCUCACUUUGAUUCAACCUCACUCUCACGGUCUCACCCUCUUCACUCUCACGGUCCCACCCUCCUCACUCUCACGGUCUCACCCUCCUCACUCUCACUCUCACCCUCAACCUCACUCUCAUUGAAAGUCUCACUUUGGUGUUCCUCUUCACUCUCUAAUCUAUCACAAUGAACCUGAUUUAGGAUUUGAUGUGAGACUAUGUUUGAUUUUUAGUUUGAUUUGUGGUUUUGUUCUAUUUGAUAUUUUGUUUGAUUUGAGGUUAUUUUUUAUUUAGGGUUCUAUUUGAUUUGGGGUUUUGUUUCUAUUUAAAAACAUUAACAUCAUUCAGAUUUCUCACUUCAAUAUUUUUGAUUCUAUUACCAGAUAGGUUUGCUAAAUUGGUUUGCCAAGCUUGCUCAGAUGAGGAACAAUGGUAGAGGUGGUGCAACUGUUGUUGGAGUUUUUAUUCUAAAACAUUAUCCAUCUUCAACGUCUCUGAUUCCUAUUUCAUUCUUUUUUGGAGCUUUCUAUUUUAAUUUAAGAUUUGAAGCUUGUUAGCAUUAUCCAUCAAUCUUAAUCAUUACAUGCAUGCUCUAUUUUGUUCAAAUUUUUCUUACCUAUUAUUUUUAGAUUUCCGAGGUAUAUGCAAUAGCAUAAUGAGGCAAUUGCGCAAUCUUUUCUAGAAUACCUGCAAGUUCAAUCUUUAGGACAAUAUAUUUUUACUUCCAUGAAGCCAUUCUACUAAUUAUAAAUUGCCUUUAAUUUUCUUAAAUGACCACUUCAAGUGGUUAUUGAUCCUUUAUAGUAUUUUUUAUUGGAAGUUCUUAUGUCUCCAUUGGACCUCUUUGAUUUAUGCAUUACAUCAUUUAAGCAUUAUGUUCCAGACAUUUCAAAGUUUGGUUGUUAUGAAUGUGUGGAAACCAGCUGCUUAAGUGUUUCAACCCCAAUAAGUUGUUGAAGUGUUUUAGUGUUUCAUUAUUUUUCUCUCUUCCUUAUUUCUCCCCCAUCCUAGCAGGGUUAAUAUAGUUGGUCAUGUAAAGCAUAAAACUUGUUAAUAGGAAUGGCAACGGGGCGGGUCGGGGUCGGGUUUGUACAUACCCAAACCCGAACCCGAAAUUCAAAACCCGAACCCGAACCCAAACUCAACGGGGUUGAAAAUAAAAAUACCAUCCCCGAACCCGAAAAUGAUAAAGUGUUAAGGAAAAUAUGAUAUUAUUUUCGUGUAAUUUUACUCUAACAUUUCUAUUUUCUCUUGUAUUAUUUCAUUUCUUUUAUGUUUGAAGAUCAAAUAGUAUAUAAAGUAACAUUAGAGAUUAAAAACAAUUGGCAAAUGAUAGAAAUUUCAAUUUUAAAUUGAAUUACCUUACUUCGGGGCGGGUUCGGGUUAGGGUCUUUGCUAUACCAAACCCGAACCCGAACCCGAAAUUUAAACUCGGGUAAAACCCGAACCCGAACCCAAUCACAUCGGGUUUUCCCCGUUAAAUUCGGGUUCGGUUCGGGCGGGUACCCACGGGUUCGGUUUUUAUUGCCAUCCCUACUUGUUAACAACUUUGAUAUUGUUUUAUCUUACUCUCUAUGGUAGUAGCAAGUUCAUAUUGGUAGAAACUAGAAAGAUUUGUCAUAUGUUGGUUCUGUUAUUGUUAUGGAAGUUACACCUCAAAGCAGAUGUUUCUGUUAUUCUCACCACCACUAUAUUAUGCUUUCUCUUUUUUACUAUAAAAUUAUGUUGAUGAUCUAAAAAGAGUUUUUAACUAAGAUUUUUAGAUAUGACAACUAAGAUUUUUACUAUAAAAUUAUGUUUCUGAUGUUAUCCCUUACCAUUUGAAUUCAAGAAGUUGUUAAUACCUUAGUUUGUAAUUAAUUUUAUAUAGGUGAUUCAUUGAGUACUUGAAGGGACUGCUUGAAUUUGAAUUCAAGAAGUUGUCAUAUGUUAGUUGGAUGUUUACUGUUUUCUGCUGCAAUUUCCUCUGGUUUUCUAUUUGUUGUUUUGCUUUUCUUCUGGCUGGCUAGUUACUCUAUUCUUUUCAAUCUGUAAACUUUAUGCUUGUUAAUGAAAUAUGUUGUUUUUAACACCUUAUAAAAAAUGCUUAGUGUUACUUUAAGAAACUAAAUUCUAAGUGGUUGAUAGUUCUAUGGCUUUUAAUAUGGCGAUAAAGUGCUUCUUAAUUCUAGAGUAGUGAAUAGUAAAUAAUCUCUUUAUAUUUCCUAAUUACCUUUUUUUCCUAACAGUACAUGCUUAAUCAACAAUCUUAAUCAUUGAAACUCAAUUUAGUCCUAAGCUUAUUCACACUUUUUGGAUGCAGUUUAACGAAAGGAAAGAUAUUCUAGAAUACUAGUUGUAUUGAGUGUUGUGUUCCUUUUAUAUUUCAUGUUCCUUGUUUAUGUGGUGGGAAUAAAGUUUGGUUAUUGUUGUUGUUCUCAUUGUUUAUGUGGUUAUUUUUUAUAAAACCUGUGUAUGAUUGAAUGAUGUGUGUUCAACAUGAGUGAGAUUCUUUUCUAUAUCCUCACAUUUGACAUUCUUCUAUACUUUUGCAGCACCAACUCAUAUAUGACUCUAAGAUGGAAGUAGUCAGAUAUAUAAGGUACUAUGGAAAGAGGAAAAUUUUCAGCUUUUCUGGCAAUGGAUUUGGACCGGACAACUUGGACCAUGACCUCUUCAUAGUUCAUGUGUUCUCUUACCAUAGCUAGAAGACCUGCUUCUGUCUUUUUUUAAAUGUUUAUCCUUCAAAAAAAUUACAUUGUUUAUGUUUCCUAUAUACACUUGGUAGUGUUGUCACUAGGAAAAUAGCUGGUAACAUACAUAAAUUAUACAAAUAUGCUGGUAUAAACGUAAUAAUUAUAAGUAGUGAUAGCAAUCAUCUGUUCCAAGUCCCCAUGACAAAUUAUUCCCUUAUAACCUACUCAUUUGUGUAAUAUGAUGACAUAAUUAUUCUUAAAUAGUUGAUUAAAUAAAUAUUACUUUUAGUAAUAAAAAAUGUAUUGUGAGA
rnacentral:lncRNA from 1 species